CCAAUCAGUAAUGUUAAAAGUCAAGAUAGUAUUUACUCUUGGAUUGGGGUAGUGACUGAAAGGGGACAUGAAAGAACUUCUGGAGUUGGAAAUAAUUCUAUUCCUUGACCUGUAGUCUGAUCACAGGGACGUGGUCAUUUGGUAGAAUUUCAUCAGCGAAGGCACAUUUCCAAAGCUUGGAGGAGAGGCUGACCGGAUGUCGUUCCCUUACACUGACGCAAAGCCUAGUGCGGUUGUGGGAGAGGUAUCUGCAGAAGCAGUGCUGCCACCAGGGGCUGGGGCUGUCCUGUCUGACUUCGCGUCCGAGCCGAGCCCACUCGAGCCGCAACCAUGUCUGGGAAUGAGAUGGUUUUUUAUCCAACUAUGAGUAAGAAGAAAAAGAAGAAGAAGAAGCCUUUUAUGUUAGAUGAGGAAGGGGAUACCCAAACAGAGGAAAUUCAGCCUUCAGAAACGAAAGAAGUGGAGCCAGAGGCAACCAAGGACAAGGAUCUGGAAGCUGAUGAAGAGGACAGCAGGAAAAAAGACGCUUCUGAUGAUCUAGAUGACUUGAACUUCUUUAAUCAAAAGAAAAAGAAGAAAAAAACUUUGAUAUUGAUGAAGAUGAAGAAUGUGUAAAGGAUCUUAAGAUUGAAAAUAAUGUUCAAGAACCAGCUGAAGCAGAGGAUGACCUUGACAUUAUGCUUGGCAAUAAAAAGAAGAAAAAGAAUGUCAAGUUCCCAGAUGAGGAUGAAAUACUAGAGAAAGAUGAAGCUCUAGAAGAUGAAGACAGCAAAAAAGAUGAUGGUAUCUCAUUCAGUAAUCAGAUAGGCCCUGCUUAGGCAGGCUCAGAAAGAGACUACACAUAUGAGGAGCUGCUGAAUCGAGUGUCAACAUCACAAGGGAAAAGUAUCAAGACAUGGUUGCUGGGGAGAAAAGGAAAUUUGUCAUGAAACCACCAUAGGUUGUCCGAGUCGGAACCAAGAAAACUUCUUUUGUCAACUUUACAGAUAUCUGUAAACUAUUACAUCGUCAGCCCAAACAUCUCCUUGCAAUUUUGUUGGCUGAGCUGGGUACAAGUGGUUCCAUAGAUGGUAAUAACCAACUUGUAAUCAAAGGAAGAUUCCAACAGAAACAGAUAGAAAAUGUCUUGAGAAGAUAUAUCAAGGAAUGUGUCACUUGUCACACAUGCUGAUCACAAAAUGCCAUAGAAGGACACACGAUACUAUUUCCCACAGUGUGAAACUUGUCAUUUUAAAUGUUCUGUUGCCAGUAUCAAAACCGGCUUCUAGGCUGUCGCGGGUAGCGAGCACAGUUCCAUGUCAAAGCUAACUAAUUUGCUAAUCACUGAUUUUGCAAAGCAUGUUGUGGAGUUGUGCCCUGACAGGUUUGCCAUCAGAGUGGAUACACUCAAUCUUGUUGUAUUAAAAACAAGAUAA